rnacentral:misc_RNA from 1 species
GGAGUAAAAGUCGUAACAAGGUUUCCGUAGGUGAACCUGCGGAAGGAUCGUUACCGAGUGAGGGCCCUCUGGGUCCAACCUCCCACCCGUGUUUAUUAUACCUUGUUGCUUUGGCGGGCCCGCCUCACGGCCGCCGGGGGGCUUCUGCCCCCGGGCCCGUGCCCGCCGAAGACACCUUAGAACUCUGUCUGAAGAUUGCAGUCUGAGUAAAAAUAUAAAUUAUUUAAAACUUUCAACAACGGAUCUCUUGGUUCCG